rnacentral:rRNA from 1 species
UACGGAGGGUGCAAACGUUGCUCGGAAUCAUUGGGCGUAAAGCGCACGUAGGCGGUUCAGCAAGUCGGGUGUGAAAGCCCUCGGCUUAACUGAGGAAGUGCAUUCGAAACUACUGGACUUGAAUACUGAAGAGGAUCGCGGAAUUCCCGGUGUAGAGGUGAAAUUCGUAGAGAUCAGGAGGAACACCCGUGGCGAAGGCGGCCCCCUGGGUCGGCACUGACGCUGAGGCGCGAAAGCGUGGGGAGCGAACGGG